AAGGAAUUAUGACUAACAUGCUGCAGACUCACUUGACUGGAAAAGCAAAGGAGAUAAGAGAGGUGGGAAUGUGUUAGCAAAAUGUGUGUGUGUGUGUGUGUGUCCAUGUGUGUGUGUGUUUAAAUGUGACUUUAAAUCACUCUGUCACGGUUAUGGUCAUGCAGCUCGGGCUCAUCCUGCCUCAAUCUGGCUAAGAAGGUGUGUGUGUGUAAGAGAGAGACAGUUAGUAUGCUGCACAUCGCCAUCUUUGAAUCAUAAAUCUAAAGCUGUCUCUAGUUUUGCGGUCAAACACAAACGCGUUGUCAGUUUACAGCCUAACAAUCCUGCACUAUAUCAUCCGCCGCCCUCCUCUGUUUUCAGGCAGCCGCUGAUGUUUGGAUUCAUUCAGUCAUCCACUUGCGCAUAAAUGAAUUUUGAACAGACAAAACUGAAGCUCUGCUGAAAACGAGACACUUUCCUGUUAAAUAUUCAAACCCAUUCAAACCCAAUUAGGUUAAUUAAGAACAAAUUCUCGUCUCUCCUUAAUGAAAUUGACCAAGAAGAAGAAGAAGAAGAAGAAAGAUGAAGAGGGAAGAGGAUGUGAGGGGGAAUGCUCGUCACCAUGGCAACACAUUUAGAGUCACACUCAAGAAAAGCAAACAGUGACAACUGUUUCCUUUUUUCCUAUCUUCACCAGCGCUCACGGUGAGAAACAGACAACAGGUGUUAAGUAAACGAAAUGAUGAAGGUGAGCAUCAGACUGAGUCAGCUCUGAUCUGAGGCCAGUGAAUCCACAGAAUAUGAGUCAACCACACUACUGCUCAAUCUGUGUGUGUGUGUGUGACAGAGGAGUAGUGGUGAGGCGUGUGGUGCUGUCAGUCACACAGAGUAUGAUUCAUCGGGGUCAAUGGUGCAUGCUGCUAUUGUGUGGGCCUCUGUUGACGGACACCGCUGCAGAUGAGAAAGCAAAACAACUUUUAAUAUCUGGUCUCAAAGAAACACCUCAAACUGUGACAGGAGAGAAGAACAAGAGGAACAACAACGACGGUGAGAAAGAAAGAAACAAAGAAACCAAUCUGGCUGAACUCCGUCUGUUAUCAGUAUAAUGAGAAACGUUUUUAUAUCCACAAACUGUUCACUGCCAACAUGAAAUGUGCAUAAUGAAUGCAUCUGUAAAAUUUCAGUUUCAUCCUACAAAAUCUGCUUCUGGCAAAUACGGCAUGAUUUACCUUUUCAUGGUUAUGUUUUGGCAACUAAAAGAAGAUCUUGGCUAACUUUAGAAAAAGUAGGGAUGCACCGAUACCGAUACCGGAUCGGAUAUCGGUCCGAUACUGACUCAAAUAGCUGGAUCAGUUAUCAGAUCUAUACAAUUCAGUUCAAUGUUUAUAUUCUAUAUACAUUAUAUACUGGAAUUUUAAUUCCUGUUUAAGUUCUGACCAAUUUUUGACAGAUUUUUUUCCAAG